rnacentral:rRNA from 1 species
CCUACGGGAGGCAGCAGUGAGGAAUAUUGGUCAAUGGGCGCGAGCCUGAACCAGCCAAGUCGCGUGAGGGAAGACGGUCCUAUGGAUUGUAAACCUCUUUUGUCCGGGAACAAAAUACGCCACGCGUGGCGUUUCGUAGGUACCCCAUGAAUAAGCAUCGGCUAAUUCCGUGCCAGCAGCCGCGGUAAUACGGAGGGUGCGAGCGUUAUCCGGAUUUAUUGGGUUUAAAGGGUGCGCAGGCGGAAGAUAAAGUCAGCGGUAAAAUUCGGGGGCUCAACCUCUUCGAGCCGUUGAAACUGGUUUUCUAGAGUGAACGAGCGGUAUGCGGAAUGUGUGGUGUAGCGGUGAAAUGCAUAGAUAUCACGCAGAACACCGAUUGCGAAGGCAGCAUACCGACGCUCGACUGACGUUGAGGCACGAAAGUGUGGGUAUCGAACAGGAUUAGAUACCCCAGUAGUC